rnacentral:rRNA from 1 species
GAGUGGCGGACUGGUGAGUAACACGUGGGUGACGAACCCUCCUGACAGGGAUAGCUGGUAGAAAUAUCAGAUAAUACCGGAUACGAACUCUAUAGUUAGAGUAUAGAGAGGAAAGGUGCUUUGGCACCGCAGGGGGAUCGGCUCGCGGCCUAUCAGCUAGUUGGCAGGGUAAAGGCCUGCCAAGGCGACGACGGGUAUCCGGCCUGAGAGGGUGGACGGACACAUUGGGACUGAGAUACGGCCCAGACUCC